GCUUGACUGUAGCUUGUAAUGGGUUCGGGGCUUUCUUUGCGCGCCUAGGUGGGAGGCAACGAUGGAUAUUUUCCGGAAAAAUUUGAGCCGUUAGUGAGAGACCACUCUGAAAAGGCCUAGAAUCCUAAUAAUGAUCUUGAAUCAGGACAUGUGACAGUUGCAGGUGGCGGUUUUACUGGGGCGGUAUUCUCCUAAAAAGUAACGGAGGGUGCAAAGGUUCCCUCAAGCUGGACGGAAAUCAGCUUAAGAGUGUAAAGGCAAAAGGGAGCUUGACUGCAGACCUACAAGUCGAGCAGGGGCGAAAGCCGCCUUAGUGAUCGACGGUACCACGUGGAAGGGCCGUCGUCACGAUAAAAGUUUA
rnacentral:rRNA from 1 species